AACAGGAUUAGAUACCCUGGUAGUCCAUGCCGUAAACGAUGAGUGCUAGGUGUUGGAGGGUUUCCGCCCUUCAGUGCCGCAGCUAACGCAUUAAGCACUCCGCCUGGGGAGUACGACCGCAAGGUUGAAACUCAAAGGAAUUGACGGGGGCCCGCACAAGCGGUGGAGCAUGUGGUUUAAUUCGAAGCUACGCGAAGAACCUUACCAGGUCUUGACAUCUUGCGCUAACCUAAGAGAUUAGGUGUUCCCUUCGGGGACGCAAUGACAGGUGGUGCAUGGUCGUCGUCAGCUCGUGUCGUGAGAUGUUGGGUUAAGUCCCGCAACGAGCGCAACCCUUGUUACUAGUUGCCAGCAUUCAGUUGGGCACUCUAGUGAGACUGCCGGUGACAAACCGGAGGAAGGUGGGGACGACGUCAGAUCAUCAUGCCCCUUAUGACCUGGGCUACACACGUGCUACAAUGGCCGGUACAACGAGCAGCUAACCCGCGAGGGUGUGCAAAUCUCUUAAAGCCGGUCUCAGUUCGGACUGCAGUCUGCAACUCGACUGCACGAAGUCGGAAUCGCUAGUAAUCGCGGAUCAGCAUGCCGCGGUGAAUACGUUCCCGGGCCUUGUACACACCGCCCGUCACACCAUGGAAGUUUGCAAUGCCCAAAGUCAGUGGCCUAACCAUUUUGGAGGGAGCUGCCUAAGGCAGGGCAGAUGACUGGGGUGAAGUCGUAACAAGGUAACC
rnacentral:rRNA from 1 species